GGGGUUGUUGGAGCCACACUGGCAUUCGUUCCAGACUCUGGCCCUGGACUUGAGGCCUCAUAGGUGCUCCUUCUUCUGUUUCUGCACUUCUGUGGAAUGCCGCCAUUCCUUUGGGUCCUCCAGCUUUCUUUGGAAAGAAGUGAAACUAAGCUGAGCUGUGAAUGGGUGGCAUUUGAAUGAGCAGAAGAGGAAGGUGGUCCUGUAGGAGGAAAAGUGAGAGCAAAGGAGAGGUGGUGGGCACAAGGAACCACAUCCAGAGCAAACCACUGCUGAAGCUAAAAGAAACACCUGUAGCCUUCAGCCAGGUUAGGCACAAUGGGGUCCAGAGUGGGACUCACCAAACACCUGCUUCCACAGUCUUUCUCAA